rnacentral:rRNA from 1 species
UACGUAGGGGCCUAGCGUUGUCCGGAUUUAUUGGGCGUAAAGAGCUCGUAGGCGGUUCGGUAAGUCAGGUGUGAAAUCUCCACGCUCAACGUGGAGGCGCCACCUGAAACUGCCGUGACUCGAGUCCGGUAGGGGAGUGUGGAAGUUCCUGGUGUAGCGGUGAAAUGCGCAGAUAUCAGGAGGAACACCAGUGGCGAAGGCGGCUACCUGGAUUGAUACUGACACUGAGGCGCGAGAGCGUGGGGAGCAAACAGG